rnacentral:rRNA from 12 species
CCCGCGACAGGACGGAAAGACCCCGUGGAGCUUUACUGUAGCUUGAUAUUGAGCACUGGUGGCACAUGUACAGGAUAGGUAGGAGACGAAGAAACCAGGACGCCAGUCUUGGUGGAGUCGCUGUUGGGAUACUACCCUUGUGUCACUGGGGUUCUAACCCGUGGCCCUUAUCGGGUCAGGGAACAGUGUCAGGUGGGCAGUUUGACUGGGGCGGGUGGCUCCCUAAAUGUAA